UACGAAGGGGGCUAGCGUUGCUCGGAAUCACUGGGCGUAAAGCGCACGUAGGCGGAUUGUUAAGUCAGGGGUGAAAUCCUGGAGCUCAACUCCAGAACUGCCUUUGAUACUGGCGAUCUUGAGUCCGGGAGAGGUGAGUGGAACUGCGAGUGUAGAGGUGAAAUUCGUAGAUAUUCGCAAGAACACCAGUGGCGAAGGCGGCUCACUGGCCCGGUACUGACGCUGAGGUACGAAAGCGUGGGGAGCAAACCGG
rnacentral:rRNA from 1 species